rnacentral:rRNA from 1 species
AACCCUUGUCCUUAGUUACCAGCACGUUAUAGUGGGCGACUCUAAGGAGACUGCCGGUGGACAAACCGGAGGAAGGUGGGGAGUGACGUCAAGUCAUCAUGGCCCUUACGGCCUGGGCUACACACGUGCUACAAUGGUCGGUACAAAGGGUUGCCAAGCCGCGAGGUGGAGCUAAUCCCAUAAAACCGAUCGUAGUCCGGAUCGCAGUCUGCAACUCGACUGCGUGAAGUCGGAAUCGCUAGUAAUCGUGAAUCAGAAUGUCACGGUGAAUACGUUCCCGGGCCUU